AAACGGGUGCGGAACACGUACGCAACCUUCCUUUAACUGGAGAAUAGCCCCUCGAAAGAGGGAUUAAUACUCCGUAACAUAUUUGAUAAGGCAUCUUAUUAAUAUUAUAGCUCCGGCGGUUAAAGAUGGGCGUGCGCCUGAUUAGAUAGUUGGCGGGGUAACGGCCCACCAAGUCUGCGAUCAGUAACUGGUGUGAGAGCACGACCAGUCACACGGGCACUGAGACACGGGCCCG
rnacentral:rRNA from 1 species